CAGACGUGCAGCUCGGCAUAAAUAUUUGUGUGUGUGAAUUUUUUUUUUCGAAUUAUUUUUGCCUGACGCGCUUGAGAUUCAAUUGUGGUUCGUUCAACUGACGCCAAGAGAAAAGUAAAGGAGAAAAAAAAACAUUUUAACGCGCUUAUAUAUUAAUGAUAAACAAAAUAUAAAAACGGCAUUGAGCAGCCACAGAGCAGAAAAGUGAAAAGCAACAUUUUCUGCUACGCUUGAGAACCGAAACGAAACACACAACAACAGCAAGAAGAAGAAAAACAAGACAAUUGUAAGACGAAGACGAAAGCGAAUAGCUGAAGAGAAGUAGAGAAAAGAUCAUGCGUGCUUGACGACGACCACGACGACGACGACGACGCUGGCAACGCCACCACAUGCAUCAGACGAGGGGGGAGAGGGUGACAACAACUAGUGCCAAACACAAUGCAAGGCAGACAACGAGAAACGAGCUACAACAACAACAACAACAAGUAGCACAGUAUUUGUAUUUCCACAUAAUUGACAACGAGCGCCUGCAAACGUGCGCACAAGAAGCCACACAAGAGAGCCAGAAAAUUAGACGAAGAAAAUAAGACAACGGCAACAACAACAACAACAACAACGCUACAGCAGAAAAAACCGCUCAGCAUUGGCAUCUCGAAUAUGUGUCUGCAUGCAUGUAUUUGUUGUAUGUACAAAUCUUUGGUGUGUCUUGAAAGCUUUUCUGCAUUCAACGUAGAGGCAACAGGCGUCCGUCUAUAAACAAAGCUGUCUGCAGCGCAGCCGCAAAGCUUGAUUGAAGUUCGUCUUAAUAGCAGCAGCGGAAACAGUGUUGUGUGCGGCAGCAGCAAAUUCAUUUGUUUUGAGUGUCCACAAAAAAAAAAAAAAAGAAAAACAGUGCUGCGUGCAGCGCACAGGAAGCAAUAAGGAGGCUCAAACGAAAACAGUGUUGUGUGCAGCAGCAGCAGCAGCGAAGAGUAGUGUUGUGUGCAGCUGCAAAUGCUGCAAACAUUAGCAUAAAUACUAAUAUAUAUAAAAUAUACGUAGACAGGAGUCGUAUAAAGUGUUUUGUGCGGCAAUUAGUGUGAGUUUAUUUAAAAAGCGCUUAAAUAAACGAAGUCUUGCGAAACAAAUUAACACCCACACACACACACAAAGAUGAAAAGCUAUUGGCUGCUGUUGCUGCUGAUCUGUGCAGCAAACAGUCAACAAGAAGAAGAGCUAGUCACAGGCAGCGCAGCAACGCCAACGGCAACAACAACAACAGCGCCAGCAAGCGCCUCGGGGCGACCGCCGCCCCCGCGCGUCCUGCUGAAUAAGUGUUGCCACCAGGGUGAAUAUUUGAAUGGAACGACGCUGGAGUGCAUAGCGGGCUCCUCGGAGAUGUGGGUGCCGCUGGUGUAUCUGAAGCAGCAGCAGCGCUUCUUUGAGCCAAAGGGCGCCAAGCCCCGUUUCAUCAAGUUCCAGCCAAAUGUGCGGCCCAGCUGCCAGGCGCAGCGCCAGCAACAGGAGCUCUUCAGCAGCCGCCAGGCGAACGUGGUGCUCUUUCCCAAUGGCACCAUGUCGGUGCGGGAGCGUGGCCUGCUCGUCGAGCCGGCCAGCUACUGUGUGGAUCAGGAUGUGGCCCUCGUCUGCCUGGACAGCGAACCAGCGCCGGCCGCCAUGGACAGAGAGCGUGUGCCCGGCUCGGAUCCGGCCGGCGAGGCACUGCAGCCAGCCGCAACCACAAUGUCGCCGCUGCGCCUGCGCAAAUGCUGCGGCAAGUGGGGCAGCUACGACAGCGGCACCAAGGGCUGCACCCUGCAAACGGCCGCCGAGCGUGCGGACAGCGGCCAGCUGCAGCUGCAUCUGGCGCCACAGCUGCUGCCGGGCAGCUAUCAGACCAGCUACGGCCUGCCCGAGUGCCUGGGCAAUGGCAGCGGCUAUGCCAUUGCCGGCGACUGGCACGAGGCGACGCUCAAUCGCAGCACGGGCGAUCUCCGGCUGACGCACACGAAUCUGAGUGCCGCGCAGUAUUGCCUGGAGCAUACGGAGCGGGCGGGCGAGGUGAAAAUAAUUGCCUGCACCCAACACUUUGCCGGAGGGCAUCACAAUGUGCCGUACGGCGGUGUCGAGGGCAGCCUCCAGAAGGCUGUCCUGGACGUGGGCAUUCUUAUAUCGAUUGUGUUUCUGGCUGCCACGCUGGUCGCUGGUUAUAUGCUGCCCGCGGUUCAUCAUGCGCUGCACUGGCGUUGCCAGAUCUAUUAUGUAUUCUGCCUGCUGCUGGGCAAGAUUCUGCUGGCCAUCGAGGAGCUGAGCACGGCCCUGGUGCCCGGCACAGUCAGCUGCCUGCUGCUAGCGAUCGGUAUGCAGUUCUUCUUUCUGUCGGCGUUCUUUUGGCUGAACACGAUGUGCUUCAACAUCUGGUGGACAUUCCGUGACUUUCGUCCCAGCUCGCUGGAACGCAAUCAGGAGUCACUGCGUCUCCGGCUCUAUUCGGCAUACGCCUGGGGCCUGCCGCUCCUCAUCUGCGCCAUUGCCGCCUGCGUGGACCAGCUGCCGGAAACGGAGACUGCGCUGCUGCGUCCGGGCUUUGGCCAGCUGUACUGCUGGUUCGACAAUCGCUCCUUGGCCAUAUUCGCCUACUUCUACGGGCCCAUCGGACUGCUGCUGUGCGCCAACAUAGUGCUCUUCAUAUCGACAACGCAUCAGCUGACCUGCGGCCUGUGGAAGCGCGAUGAUGUCAAGUCGACGACGGAGAAAUCGGCGCUGGGCCGCGUCUGUCUCAAGCUGGUCGUCGUCAUGGGCGUCACCUGGAUCUGGGACAUAAUCUCGUGGCUGGUCGGCGGCCCACAUGAUGUCUGGCUGCUGACGGAUCUGAUCAAUGCGCUCCAGGGCGUCUUUAUAUUCAUUGUUGUCGGCUGCCAGCCCCAGGUGUGGACCGCCUGCAAGCGCAUCUGCUGUCCGCGUCUAAGGCACGACAUCACCAAUACGACCAACGGCGUACAGCACUCGAGCAGCUCCCAGGGCCUACCCUCCCUUGCCAAUGGCACCGAGUUCACCCAGAACACCUCCAUGAACAUCACAACAACAACAACAGCAACAGCCACAGCCAUGUCGCCAGCCAGCCCCGUUGCAGAGGAUGCCCCACAAACUGCAGCCAGUCCGAGCGGCCAGGUUGCCGCAAAGAUACCCAUGGAGACCAUUUGCUAAGAAAACUGAGACGAGCGACAAUGCGAAAGUAAACCGAGUCCUACAACAACAACAGCAACAACAACAAUGGCAAUGAAGGCAGCAACAAUAAAAACGGCAAGCGGCCAGACUUGCGCAAUAGCUGUUACAACAACAACAACAAUAACAGCUACAACAACAACAACGAAGACGGCAAUAAGCACAACAUUCAAGCACGCGCAUUGACCGAACGGGCAACAACUGCCCAGCCCAGCCCAGCCCAGGCCCAGGCCCAGCUGGCCAAGCUUUUUCUUAAUUCUUCUCUUCGGCUAUAACGUCUAUCGACUAUCGAAUCCGAUUGAAACGCGUGGAUUCCGUUUGUUAGUCUGUUGCGUGGAACCUGUGGAGCCCGUGUCAAUGCGUUGGAUUCUCUGCUAGCUAAAGGCUGAGGCUGAUGCUGUAACUGUAAACACUGGGAUAUUUUACUUUUAUGUCUGCUCGUGUGCAUGUGCGUGUGUGUGUGUGUGUGUUUGUGUGUUUGUGUGUGCUUCUUUUUAGGGGCGCACAAAAAGCGCUCGUUUAAUUAAACAAACAUUGAAAACGGUUAAUAGUUCGCUUUGAUAUGCACACACACACACACACACACACUGAAACACAAGAAUAACAAACAGACACGCUCACACACAGACACAGACACACAUAUAAUCAAAAGUUCAACGUAAUGAAAACUGAUCAAGGUUAAAUGGCUCAAAGCAACAACAAAUAUAAAUAGAAGCAAUAACCGAAAGCAUAGACACAAAACAGACAGAGAAGAUGCCAAAAGAAGAAAGCGCGUUUAAUUAACCGGACGCAGCACACACAAACACACACACACGCAAACGCAAUGUACAGUUAGUUAGUUAGCAAAGUGACGUUGCCAGAUCUGCUCGCCAAUUGGCAAGCUGCUAAACUCAACGAAAGCACACACACACACACACACACACACGCACACAAGUAUGCAGCGUUGCCACACUGGCGUGCUGAUCUUUGCAGCUCUAAACGACUUGCAAAUGCACUUUCCCCCCACACAAUGUAUUUUCUUUUAAUUUUACAAAAACGCAGAAACUAA